UCAGAAAGCCCCUCUGGACCAGGCCGUGACUGCUGGCAGUGCUGGCUGAUGAUGCUAACAGCAUAUCCCACAUUUUCUCUACUCUCCGCGAUUUUGGCUUUUGUUUGUGGCUACAAAUGUUGCCACAACGCAGUAAUGAAGGAGUCUGAAGGUCAUCAAAGCAGUUCUGAGAUGCAAAGAAAGUUGAGCCAAGAACAGGAAGUCCAUACAGAAGUUUGCUAUGCAUCACUGAACAUCCCCAAACGAGGAAGCAAACGGACAAAGAGCAACCGAUUGCAAUGCUCUGACUUCAGUGUAUACAAUGGUAUAAAAAUACACACUUAGGUAAAAGAUAAUGUGCUGUCAGCUGCUCAUAUACCAAA